rnacentral:miRNA from 1 species
CAAGUGGUGGAUAUAGAACCACCUUUCAUGGCAGUACAUUGCAGCAUGUGCCACAUGUUCAAAAGCAAUA